rnacentral:rRNA from 1 species
AUUGAACGCUGGCGGCAGGCUUAACACAUGCAAGUCGAGCGAGCGGCGGACGGGUGAGUAAUGUCUGGGAAACUGCCCGAUGGAGGGGGAUAACUACUGGAAACGGUAGCUAAUACCGCAUACCAUCGGAUGUGCCCAGAUGGGAUUAGCUAGUAGGUGGGGUAACGGCUCACCUAGGCGACGAUCACUAGCUGGUCUGAGAGGAUGACCAGCCACACGGGAACGGAGACAAGGUCCAUACUCUGACGGGAGGCAGCAGUGGGGAAUAUUGCACAAUGGGCGCAAGCCUGAUGCAGCCAUGCCGCGUGUAUGAAGAAGGCCGUCGGUUUGUAAAGUACUUUCAUCGAGGAGGCGUGACUCGCAGAAGAAGCACCGGCUAACUCCGUGCCAGCAGCCGCGGUAAUUC